CCUACGGGUGGCAGCAGUGAGGAAUAUUGGUCAAUGGGCGGAAGCCUGAACCAGCCAAGUCGCGUGAGGGAUGAAGGCCCUACGGGUCGUAAACCUCUUUUGCACGGGAAUAACACGCUCCACGUGUGGGGGUCUGCAGGUACCCUGCGAAUAAGCACCGGCUAAUUCCGUGCCAGCAGCCGCGGUAAUACGGAGGACCCGAGCGUUAUCCGGAUUCAUUGGGCUUAAAGGGAGCGUAGGCGGGCGUUCAAGUCAGCGGUAAAAUCGCGCGGCUCAACCUCGUCGAGCCGUUGAAACUGGGUGCCUUGAGUGGACAAGAGGCAGGCGGAAUGCGUGGUGUAGCGGUGAAAUGCAUAGAUAUCACGCAGAACCCCGAUUGCGAAGGCAGCCUGCCGGCGCGCGACUGACGCUGAGGCUCGAAGGCGUGGGUAUCAAACAGGAUUAGAUACCCUAGUAGUC
rnacentral:rRNA from 1 species